rnacentral:rRNA from 1 species
AUUGAACGCUGGCGGCAGGCCUAACACAUGCAAGUCGAACGGAGUGGCGGACGGGUGAGAAAUGUCUGGGAAACUGCCUGAUGGAGGGGGAUAACGUCCGGAAACGGGCGCUAAUACCGCAUACUAUCAGAUGAGCCUAGGUCGGAUUCGCUAGUUGGUGGGGUAAAGGCCAACCAAGGCGACGAUCCGUAACUGGUCUGAGAGGAUGAUCAGUCACCCUGGAACUGGGACACGGUCCAGACUCCUACGGGAGGCAGCAGUGGGGAAUAUUGGAAAAUGGGCGAAAGCCUGAUCAAGCCAUGCCGCGUGUGUGAAGAAGGUCUUCGGAUUGUAAAGCACUUUAAGUUGGGAGGCGUUACCAACAGAGUAAGCACCGGCUAACUUCGUGCCAGCAGCCGCGGUAAUAC